UCAUUUUCUAGCUCAGUUGGUAAAGCAGGAGACUGUUACUCUCAGGGUCAUGGGUUUGAGCUUCCUGUUGGGUGAA